rnacentral:rRNA from 1 species
ACGAACGCUGGCGGCGUGCUUAACACAUGCAAGUCGCACGGAAAGGCCCUGCUUUUGUGGGGUGCUCGAGUGGCGAACGGGUGAGUAACACGUGAGUAACCUGCCCUUGACUUUGGGAUAACUUCAGGAAACUGGGGCUAAUACCGGAUAGGAGCUCCUGCUGCAUGGUGGGGGUUGGAAAGUUUCGGCGGUUGGGGAUGGACUCGCGGCUUAUCAGCCUGUUGGUGGGGUAGUGGCUUACCAAGGCUUUGACGGGUAGCCGGCCUGAGAGGGUGACCGGCCACAUUGGGACUGAGAUACGGCCCAGACUCCUACGGGAGGCAGCAGUGGGGAAUAUUGCACAAUGGGCGGAAGCCUGAUGCAGCAACGCCGCGUGCGGGAUGACGGCCUUCGGGUUGUAAACCGCUUUCGCCUGUGACGAAGCGUGAGUGACGGUAAUGGGUAAAGAAGCACCGGCUAACUACGUG